GCAUAGCUCACUUUCUUGAGCAACCCUGUGUCCCCGCACCCCGCUCCUCUUCUUUCGGGUUCUAGGCAGCCGUGGGCGCUGCGACCCUUCUCUCACUGUCAGAGGGGCGGGAGCUCUCGGCCUGCGCCGCCUCCGCUGCCUGCUUGGUCGCGGGCUUGCCGGGAAUGGUGACAGCCCGGGCCCCCUCUUGGCCAAAGAAGUCCUCGAAAGCGUUCGGCGCACGGGCUUUGUCCAGCUUUUUAAACCGUAACAAGGACCGGGGCCGGGCGCGGUGGCUCACGCCUGUAAUCCCAGCAUUUUGGGAAGUCGAGGCGGACGGAUUACUUGAGGUCAUGAGUUCGAGACCAGCCUGGCCAACACGAUGGAGUCUUGCUCCCAUGCUGGAGUGCAGUGGCGUGAUCUCGGCUGACUGUAACCUCCGCCUCCCGGGUUCAAGUGAUUCUCCUGCCUCAGCCUCCGGAGUAGCUGGGAUUACAGCAAAGAUAUCCAGACGCUGUAUGCAGGAAGAACUGAAUUUCAGAGGACACCGUUUGAUCUUCAACACCUGGCAGUUUACAAAACAGGAGUCCCAGCUGAGAACUCAAACUGGUAGAAGGAAGAUUAUUUUUCCUUCUCUAUAGGUGCUUGGAGGUAACGAGGGGAAAGGAGUUGAAAGGAAGGUGACAUUUCAGGUGGGCACCUGGGAUGGAGGCAAGGAAUCACGAAGUGGCGUCUCCUCGGAAGGGGCAGCCUGAUGUCUUUAACCACUGAACUGUGGUUUCCAACUGGAUGCGCUUUGGGUUCAGGGCUAAGACACGCGUAGGCGGUGCAGACAGUUCAAUUCGUGGGCGGCUUUUUCUCUCCCCUGCGCGGUUUUGCAGAACUGAGGAUUCACGUUUGCCACGCAGUCUCUAAAUCCUCCUCCCAGCCCUCGCCGGAUUUCUGCAUCGGAAUUGGAUUGGAUCACACACAAAAGAAGAGCCCAGGAACUCGUUCACCACCUUGCACCUUGCCUGUUAGUUCACGGCAUAAUGGUAACAGAGUCUUCAUUAAUGGAAGCAACGUUACUACCGUGAGCCCGGAUAGCUCAGUCGGUAGAGCAUCAGACUUUUAAUCUGAGGGUCCAGGGUUCAAGUCCCUGUUCGGGCGGUAUCUUUUUUUUCCUCAUUAAAAGAGUAAGAACCAAUUUUAGGAUCUUUUGUUUGUUAACACACUGCAAAAGAAGGGAAUAAAGUCCUGGAUUGUGUAAACUGCGACCCCAAACACUUCUCGGAGGGUAAGCCCUCU
rnacentral:lncRNA from 1 species